rnacentral:rRNA from 1 species
AACGAACGCUGGCGGCGUGCCUAACACAUGCAAGUCGUGCGAGAAAGUUCCUUCGGGAGCGAGUAAAGCGGCGCACGGGUGAGUAACACGUAGGUAACCUGCCCCCCAGUCUGGAACAACUAGAGGAAACUCUAGCUAAUGCCGGAUGAGACCACGAUCCCUUCGGGGGUUGCGGCCAAAGAUGGCCUCUACUUGUAAGCUAUCGCUGAGGGAUGGGCCUGCGGGCCAUUAGCUUGUUGGUGAGGUAACGGCUCACCAAGGCUGUGAUGGCUAGCUGGUCUGAGAGGAUGACCAGCCGCACUGGGACUGAGACACGGCCCAGACUCCUACGGGAGGCAGCAGUGGGGAAUAUUGCGCAAUGGGCGAAAGCCUGACGCAGCGACGCCGCGUGGGUGAUGAAGGCCU